CCCUUAGAUGUCCUGGGCCGCACGCGCGUUACACUGAUGCAUUCAACGAGCUUAUAACCUUGGCCGAGAGGCCUGGGCAAUCUUGUUAACGUGCAUCGUGAUAGGGAUAGAUUAUUGAAAUUAUUAAUCUUGAACGAGGAAUUCCUUGUAAUUGUAAUUCAUUAUAUUGUAAUGAAUACGUCCCUGCCCUUUGUACACACCGCCCGUCGCUCCUACCGAUUGAACGAUCCGGUGAAUUAUUUGGAGUAGCUCUGGAAGUUGCAGAACUUCCUAUGUCACGAAAUUUUGUAAACCUUAUCGUUUAGAGGAAGGAAAAGUCGUAACA
rnacentral:rRNA from 1 species